rnacentral:rRNA from 1 species
UAUGGGGCGCAGCAGGCGCGAAACCUCCGCAAUGGGCUAAAGCCUGACGGGGUCAGUCCGAGUGGCUCCUGCUAAAGGAGUCUUUUCGCCAGCUGUAAACAGGCUGGUGAAUAAGGGGUGGGCAAGCCUGGUGUCAGCCGCCGCGGUAAUACCAGCACCCCGAGUGGUCGGGAUGAUUAUUGGGUCUAAAGCAUCCGUAGCUGGUGAAGUAAGUCCUCCGUUAAAUCCACUUGCUCAACAAGUUGGGCUGCGGAGGAUACUGCUACACUAGGAGGCGGGAGAGGCGAGGGGUAUUCCACGGGUAGGGGUAAAAUCCUCUGAUCCGUGGAGGACCACCAGUGGCGAAGGCGUCUCGCCAGAACGCGCUCGACGGUGAGGGAUGAAAGCUGGGGGAGCAAACCGGAUUAGAUACCCGGGUAGUCCCAGCCGUAAACGAUGUAGGCUCGGUGAUGGAUUGGCUCCGAGCCAAUCCAGUGCCGCAGGGAAGCCGUUAAGCCUACCACCUGGGGAGCACCACAAGGGGUGAAGCCUGCGGUUCACAUUGGAGUCAACGCCGGGAAUCUUACCAGGGGCGACAGCAGAAUGAAGGUCAGGCUGAAGACCUUACCAGACGAGCUGAGAGGAGGUCGCAUGGCCGUCGACAGCUCGUGCCGUGAGGUGUCCUGUUAAGUCAGGUAACGAGCGAGACCUCCAUCCCUAAUUGCUACCAUUAUUCUUAGGAAUGGUGGGGGGAAUUAGGGAGACUGCCGUUGUUAAAACGGAGGAAGGCGGGGGCCACGGCAGGUCAGUAUGCCCCGAAACCCUUGGGCCACACGCGGGCUGCAAUGGUAGGGACAAUGGGUUCCAAGCUCGGAAGAGUGAGGUAAUCCCUAAACCCUACUCCAGUUAUGAUUGAGGGCUGGAACUCGCCCUCAUGAAUCUGGAAUCCCUAGUAAUCGCGUGUCAACAUCGUCGCGGUGAAUACGUCCCUGCUCCUUGCACACACCGCCCGUCGCUUCAUCCGAGUCGGGUCUGUCGCGAGAUGAUACCGAGUUGGUAUCAUCGAACGUGG